rnacentral:rRNA from 1 species
GACGUAGGGGGCCAGCGUUGUUCGGAAUUACUGGGUGUAAAGGGUUCGUAGGCGGUGCGGCAAGUUGGGAGUGAAAUCUCUGGGCUUAACCCAGAGGCUGCUUCCAAAACUGCUGUGCUUGAGUGUGGGAGAGGCGCGUGGAAUUGCAGGUGUAGCGGUGAAAUGCGUAGAUAUCGGGAGGAACAUCUGUGGCGAAGGCGACACCCUGGACCAGCACUGACACUGAGGCACGAAAGCGUGGGGAGCAAACAGG